rnacentral:rRNA from 1 species
UACGUAGGGACCAAGCGUUGUUCGGAUUUACUGGGCGUAAAGGGCGCGUAGGCGGCGCGGUAAGUCACUUGUGAAAUCUCUGAGCUUAACUCAGAACGGCCAAGUGAUACUGCAGUGCUAGAGUGUGGAAGGGGCAAUCGGAAUUCUUGGUGUAGCGGUGAAAUGCGUAGAUAUCAAGAGGAACACCUGAGGUGAAGACGGGUUGCUGGGCAAUUCCUGACACUGAGGCACGAAAGCUAGGGGAGCAAACAGG